GGACCGGUCUGCAGUGGAGUCUUUUUGUUGUCUGGUCCCUGGAUGAUAUGACGGUGCAGAGAAUGUGUGUUGAGCCGAAGCUGCUGUUUUUGGGCGCCUCUGUGGAGGUGUCUGAGGAGAAUCUGGAGACUUCUGCGCUGCUGUGAGUCUGACCUAAAACUUUCAGUUGAAGAAACAUCACCAGCUCUGUCCGUCCAUGAAGAUCAAGUGGUGUCCUGCUCUGAGAUGAUCGUUUUGGAUGAACUGAUGACAAGUGAACG